rnacentral:rRNA from 1 species
UACGUAGGGCGCAAGCGUUAUCCGGAAUUAUUGGGCGUAAAGAGCUCGUAGGCGGUUUGUCGCGUCUGCCGUGAAAGUUCGGGGCUCAACCCCGGGCCUGCAGCCGAUACGAGCAGACUAGAGUUCGGCAGGGGAGACUGGAAUUCCUGGUGUAGCGGUGAAAUGCGCAGAUAUCAGGAGGAACACCGGUGGGCGAAGGCGGAUCUCUGGGCCAUUACUGACGC